rnacentral:rRNA from 1 species
AUUGAACGCUGGCGGAAUGCUUUACACAUGCAAGUCGAACGGCAGCACGGACUUCGGUCUGGUGGCGAGAGGCGAACGGGUGAGUAACAUAUCGGAACGUAUCCAAUAAUGGGGGAUAACUAAUCGAAAGGUUGGCUAAUACCGCAUACGCCCUACGGGGGAAAGCUAGGGACCUUCGGGCCUGGCGUUAAUGGAGCGGCCGAUAUCUGAUUAGCUAGUUGGUGAGGUAAAGGCUCACCAAGGCGACGAUCAGUAGCUGGUCUGAGAGGACGACCAGCCACACUGGAACUGAGACACGGUCCAGACUCCUACGGGAGGCAGCAGUGGGGAAUUUUGGACAAUGGGCGCAAGCCUGAUCCAGCCAUUCCGCGUGAGUGAAGAAGGCCUUCGGGUUGUAAAGCUCUUUCGCAAGGGAAGAAAACUUAUCCUCUAACAUAGGAUGAGGUUGACGGUACCUUGAUAAGAAGCACCGGCUAACUACGUG